GACAUUGCAUUGUGGGUCACCGUGUUGCAGUGUGGAAACACUUUACGGUCACCCACACUGCAACAUGGUUACUCGCCAUGCAAUAUU
rnacentral:pre_miRNA from 1 species